rnacentral:rRNA from 1 species
GAUGAACGCUGGCGGCGUGCCUAAUACAUGCAAGUCGAGCGAACAGACGAGGAGCUUGCUCCUCUGACGUUAGCGGCGGACGGGUGAGUAACACGUGGAUAACCUACCUAUAAGACUGGGAUAACUUCGGGAAACCGGAGCUAAUACCGGAUAAUAUAUUGAACCGCAUGGUUCAAUAGUGAAAGACGGUUUUGCUGUCACUUAUAGAUGGAUCCGCGCCGCAUUAGCUAGUUGGUAAGGUAACGGCUUACCAAGGCAACGAUGCGUAGCCGACCUGAGAGGGUGAUCGGCCACACUGGAACUGAGACACGGUCCAGACUCCUACGGGAGGCAGCAGUAGGGAAUCUUCCGCAAUGGGCGAAAGCCUGACGGAGCAACGCCGCGUGAGUGAUGAAGGUCUUCGGAUCGUAAAACUCUGUUAUUAGGGAAGAACAAAUGUGUAAGUAACUAUGCACGUCUUGACGGUACCUAAUCAGAAAGCCACGGCUAACUACGUGCCAGCAGCCGCGGUAAUACGUAGGUGGCAAGCGUUAUCCGGAAUUAUUGGGCGUAAAGCGCGCGUAGGCGGUUUUUUAAGUCUGAUGUGAAAGCCCACGGCUCAACCGUGGAGGGUCAUUGGAAACUGGAAAACUUGAGUGCAGAAGAGGAAAGUGGAAUUCCAUGUGUAGCGGUGAAAUGCGCAGAGAUAUGGAGGAACACCAGUGGCGAAGGCGACUUUCUGGUCUGUAACUGACGCUGAUGUGCGAAAGCGUGGGGAUCAAACAGGAUUAGAUACCCUGGUAGUCCACGCCGUAAACGAUGAGUGCUAAGUGUUAGGGGGUUUCCGCCCCUUAGUGCUGCAGCUAACGCAUUAAGCACUCCGCCU